AGCACGAAUUUGGAUUCAAUAUUUCGACCAUCAAAAGUUUGAUUUGUUCCAUAGAUCUUGAAGAGCCAGAAUGCCACGUCGUGGAAAAAGUAGCAAACCAAGCUAUGGCCGGACGACCGGGAGUCCGUACAUCCACAAGCCGCUUCCUAGCGGUGUUCCAGUACCUAUGUGCUUUUGUGGUGAUCCUUGCAAGGUAGAAAUUUCGGAAGACGAGGAAACCUAUCGGCAGAGGUAUUGGAUGUGUUCCAAUUUUGCCUGGGAGCCUACUCCAAAACAACGCCGCAGUAACUUUAUUACCCCUCCACCAUUGUGUGAUUUUGAGCAGUGGAUCGACACUGAGAUUAAGGAGUCCGACAAGCGGCUUCUACAAGGCCUAAAGGAGUGGGAUGCAGAGCGUGCAGAGAUAUUAGAGAAGAGACGUAGAG